UACGUAGGUGGCAAGCGUUGUCCGGAUUUACUGGGCGUAAAGAGCGCGCAGGCGGUCUUUUAAGUCGAAUGUGAAAGCCCCCGGCUCAACUGGGGAGGGUCAUUCGAUACUGAUCGACUUGAAGGCAGGAGAGGGAAGUGGAAUUCCGGGUGUAGUGGUGAAAUGCGUAGAUAUCCGGAGGAACACCAGAGGCGAAGGCGGCUACCUGGACAAUUGCUGACGCUCAGGCACGAAAGCGUGGGGAGCAAAAGGG
rnacentral:rRNA from 1 species